ACCAUCCCUCCGGCCUCUGCUCUGCCACCAAACCUCCGGCCUCUGCUGUGCCACCAUCCCUCCGGCCUCUGGUCUGCCACCAAACCUCCGGCCUCUGCUGUGCCACCAUCCCUCCGGCCUCUGCUCUGCCACCAUCCCUCCGGCCUCUGCUCUGCCACCAAACCUCCAGCCUCUGCUGUGCCACCAAGCCUCCGGCCUCUGCUCUGUCACUGGCAACUUCUCCUGCCUUUGACCUUCUUGCUUCCCUCUUAUAAGGACUCCUGCAAUUGCACAGAGGGCCCACACGAUAAUCCAGGACCUCCCCUCAUCUACAGGUCUUUAAUUCCACUUCGGCACAACCCCUUUUACUGUGCAAGGUGACACGAUCACAGGCUCAAGCGAUCAGGACACAGACAUCUGUGCUGGCAGGACAGGGAGGCGUGACUCAGCCCACCACAGGGUGUAAACGGUAUCCAGGAUGUGGAGUUUGCCAAACAGCAACAAGCCACCCAAUUCUUAUAAAACCCUGUGGUGUGCGAUGUUUGAUGGCAGAGUCAUGACCUGUUCAAGUCUUAAAUCCCAGAAGGCACUGCAUCUGCAGACAUGUUUGCGUGUCACGCCUGCACGGGCCCACACUAAUCUCUGCGUUGGUCCAGUUGUAGUACAAGUGGUCUUUAAGGAGGGGAUGAAGAGAAAAUGAGGCCACUGGGUUGAGCCCUAAUCCUACUCUGGUGUCCUCGCAGGAAGAGAUUAGGACACAGACGCGUGUGAAGAGAAGAUGAUGUGAGGACUCCGGGGGAAGAUGCUGUCCAGGAGCCAAGACACGCAUGACCAAGUGUCUGCUCUGUGUGAGGAACAAGUCACGGAGAUAAAAGACCCCGUCCAGACACACUGCCUGGAAAGGAGACAACCAUGAACGCUGAGUGACAGGGAGGAGCAGCUGUCUGUGCCACGGGAAACAGCUCAUCAGGGCCUUCACCUUCAGCCAGUCACAGCCAUCCGUAGAUGCUGCCCUGGGGCCAAGCAUUUCAGCCAAAUAAACCACAGACAAGAUCCUGCUCUAUCUUUUGAAGGGAGGACACAAACAAUAAACAGCUAUUUUAUUUCUGAUAGUGACAGGUGCUGGGAGGGGGGGCAGCUAGACUGGCUGGUGGCGGGGGUAGCCAUGUAGGAGCCGGGCUGAGCUGGGACCCCAAUGUGACAGGCGGCAGAGGGAGAGGCCAGCGCCUGAGGGGCUGGUGUGGGAAUUAGCUGGCUGGAUGCAGAAGCAGAGGAACACCCCAGGGACUCCCGGAGGAGCAGGGAGGGAGAAAAGGUUUUCUGAGGGGUGGAGGCAGGGGUCACCUGUGCUGGGCCUUCAGGGGCCUUGAAAUGGUUACUGAUUGCUGUGUUAUAAACCCCCUCAAAAGCAGUGGCUUCAACGGCUACUCAUUGUUUCUCAGGACUAUACUGGCUGCCUGGUGCAGCACUGUGCUGGUGUUAUACUACCUUCUCUACAGAAAAAAAACAAAAACAAAAUUAAAAACCACCCUGAUUUGAAGCGUU